CAGAAGAAGAGACCGAGGGAGAGAGAGAGCAGUGAGAUCUGCCGUUGGCUUGACGGGAGCCAAGUCGGCGUUAGGCCUAUGGCGGGGCAUGAGGUUAAUUUCGGGCAUCUUUCGAGGCGAUGCAUGGCAUCGAUGGGUCGAUGGCGUCCUCAGUGCUGCUUCAAUCGCUCACCGGAGCACGGCAUUCGCCAUGUGUGGACCUACUCGCUACACGUGAGGACACGUGUCAUCUG
rnacentral:lncRNA from 7 species